rnacentral:rRNA from 1 species
UAGUCCACGCCGUAAACGAUGUCAACUAGCCGUUGGGAGCAUAUAAGCUCUGAGUGGCGCAGCUAACGCGAUAAGUUGACCGCCUGGGGAGUACGCCGGCAACGGUAAAGCUCAAAGGAAUUGACGGGGGCCCGCACAAGCGGUGGAGCAUGUGGUUUAAUUCGAUGCAACGCGAAAAACCUUACCUACCCUUGACAUCCUCAGAACUUGUUAGAGAUAACUUGGUGCCUUCGGGAACUGAGUGACAGGUGCUGCAUGGCUGUCGUCAGCUCGUGUCGUGAGGUGUUAGGUUAAGUCCUGCAACGAGCGCAACCCCUAUCAUUAGUUGCUAACAGGUUAAGCUGAGGACUCUAAUGAGACUGCCGGUGCAAACCGCGAGGAAGGUGGGGAUGACGUCAAAUCAUCACGGCCCUUACGUCCUGGGCUACACACGUGCUACAAUGGCAGGUACAGAGGGCAGCUACCCCGCGAGGGGAUGUGAAUCUUCAAAGCCUGUCU